rnacentral:rRNA from 1 species
GACGAACGCUGGCGGCGUGCUUAACACAUGCAAGUCGAACGAAGUGGCGCACGGGUGAGUUACGUGUAAUCAACCUGCCCUUCCGAGGGGGACAACUGUUGGAAACGACUGCUAAUAUCGCAUACUGAAGGAGGGGAUUGCGUCUGAUUAGCUAGGUGGAGGGGCAACGGCCCACCAAGGCGAUGAUCAGUAGGCGGUCUGAGAGGAUGAACGGCCAAAUUGGGACUGAGACACGGCCCAGACGCCUACGGGAGGCAGCAGUGGGGAAUCUUCCGAAAUGGACGGAAGUCUGACUGAGCAACGCCGCGGGAGUGAUGACGGCCUUCGGGUUGUAAAGCUCUGUUAAUCGGGACGCGGUACCGGAAGAGAAAGCCACGGCUAACUACGUGCCAGCAGCCGCGGUAAUUC